rnacentral:rRNA from 1 species
GUGGGGAAUAUUGGACAAUGGGCGCAAGCCUGAUCCAGCCAUGCCGCGUGAGUGAUGAAGGCCUUAGGGUUGUAAAGCUCUUUCGCCCGCGAAGAUAAUGACGGUAGCGGGAGAAGAAGCCCCGGCUAACUUCGUGCCAGCAGCCGCGGUAAUACGAAGGGGGCUAGCGUUGUUCGGAAUCACUGGGCGUAAAGCGCACGUAGGCGGACGUUUAAGUCAGAGGUGAAAGCCUGGAGCUCAACUUCAGAACUGCCUUUGAUACUGAACGUCUCGAGGCCGGGAGAGGUGAGUGGAACUGCUAGUGUAGAGGUGAAAUUCGUAGAUAUUAGCAAGAACACCAGUGGCGAAGGCGGCUCACUGGCCCGUUACUGACGCUGAGGCGCGAAAGCGUGGGGAGCAAACAGGAUUAGAAACCCGUGUAGUCC